UCCUUCUUGGUCUCUCUUGAUCCGGAUUUACUGGGCGUAAAGGGUGCGUAGGCGGUCUUGCAAGCCAGAAGUGAAAGGCUACGGCUUAACCGUAGUAAGCUUUUGGAACUGUAGGACUUGAGUGCAGGAGAGGAGAGUGGAAUUCCUAGUGUAGCGGUGAAAUGCGUAGAUAUUAGGAGGAACACCAGUAGCGAAGGCGGCUCUCUGGACUGUAACUGACGCUGAGGCACGAAAGCGUGGGGAGCGAACAGGAUGAGAAACCCCAGUAGUCC
rnacentral:rRNA from 1 species